UACGUAGGGUGCGAGCGUUAAUCGGAAUUACUGGGCGUAAAGCGUGCGCAGGCGGUUGUGCAAGACAGAUGUGAAAUCCCCGGGCUUAACCUGGGAACUGCAUUUGUGACUGCACGGCUAGAGUACGGUAGAGGGGGAUGGAAUUCCGCGUGUAGCAGUGAAAUGCGUAGAUAUGCGGAGGAACAUCAAUGGCGAAGGCAGUCCCCUGGGCCUGUACUGACGCUCAUGCACGAAAGCGUGGGGAGCAAACAGG
rnacentral:rRNA from 1 species